AGAAUGGUUUUAUUGAGCUUUUUUAUGAGCCACAAUGCUACAAAGUAAAGAUCGAUUGCCCAACUUAAACCGAUUCCAAACAACAUCGUGUCAUUAUGUAAACUAUUCACAUGCCAAUGCUGGAUUUCACCUACAAAUGUAUGCACAGUGUCUGAUGGAGUAAAACAACAGUCUAAAGAGAUAUCAAGACAGCACAAAUGCUAGAAAGUAAUUUUAGUGUAAUUUCUGCAUGAUUGUAGAAUAUUUUUAGAAUUAAAUCCUUA
rnacentral:lncRNA from 1 species